rnacentral:rRNA from 1 species
UACAGAGGUGGCAAGCGUUGUUCGGAAUUACUGGGCGUAAAGGGCGCGUAGGCGGUCUUGCAAGUCCUGUGUGAAAUCCCUCGGCUCAACUGAGGAACUGCACAGGAAACUGCUUGGCUUGAGUUCGGGAGAGGGAAGCGGAAUUCCGGGUGUAGCGGUGAAAUGCGUAGAUAUCAGGAGGAAUACCGAUGGCGAAGGCAGGUCUCUGGGCUGACACUGACGCUCAUGCACGAAAGCGUGGGGAGCAAACAGG